GAAGGUGUUUUAACCCUAGAAGCAUUAAUUAUUCAGAUAUUUAUUGAGUGUGCACUGCAUGAACAUUACUUUCUAAUAGUUUCUGAGGCCUACAAAGGUGCUCUCCUACCUCGGAGGAGCUGAGGCUACCUGGUCGAGGGAAGUCUGGUCUAGGUGGUCAUUCUGUAGCAUGACUCAUCCUCCUAAUACUUUCCAAAUAAAUUUCUAUUUCUACAUCAGGGCAUCUCACGACACACUGUGACAUCAGGAAAAAUGGUGCUUUGCAUACUUGCUCCAGUGGACGGAUCUCAAGCUGUCUGGGGACCAGGGUUCUCAAGGACAUGGUGCUGGAACCUAGAUCUUUCAGAGAUCAAAUCAGGACAGUCCUAGGGGCUGUGGGGUCACCUUCUCUUCCUCUUUCCUGCUACCCCAAGUCAUCCGCAUUGUGUAUUAUGCAGUGGGAAAGCGCCUUGGCCUGGACCUCAAGCUACCCACGUUCUAAUCCUGCCUCUGUCAUGUCCUAGAGCUGUGGCCUCAGGUAAGUCACCUUACCUCUCUGGGCCUCAGUUUCCUCAUUUGUAGUCUUAGGUUUGUUUAGCUGACCUCCAAGUUUCCUUUCUAUCUGAAAAUUUUAAUUUCUGCCAUCCAGUUGUAGAAUGGGUAAGUGAGAGAGAUUUCC
rnacentral:lncRNA from 1 species